UCUCUGAAUUAGCCGACAAUUAGGUUAAAUGAAUCCGACAACUUCCGGUAUAUUUUUUGACCUACUUCACGAGCAUAAUUAUCAGCCUGUUAAGCUCAUAAGGGAAAUAAAAGAUUAUUUACUUUAAUAUUCACUUGGAAAGGCUGGUACAUGUAGCUAGAAAAAAGUACAGUAUAAGAUUAAAGAAAGACUAGAAGAUUAUUACAAACAACAGGUGGACAUGUGUCACUGUCAAGCGAAGGAAGAUAAGCAUCACACUCGGUGGGAAUCUCCAGUUUCCAGAUGUAGUGAUCAUAACUGUAUAGGCACCAUUAACACUUUGGACUAGUUGGAGUAUUUUAGAGGGCUAGUCUGAAUUGAAUCCCCUGUCAAUAGUAAAGGCCAGUCAUGAACAUUGUGUUGAAGGAAAAUGAUAAAACUCGCAUUUCCCGCUUAACCAAUCAUUACUUUACCUUAUAUUCAGUGCGGUAAUGUAGGAAAUGGUUACUUUCUGGAAUGGAGCUGUCAAUUAUUUUUAAUUUUUUAGCUUGUUAGUGUUAUCGUCGGACAGUUGUGAAGUAAAGACAUCGCAGUUUGACUGUAUACAAGUUGCCUUAAAGAAAGUAUGUCAAAAUCUUAACAGUUAUUCGUUGAUUUUGUAGAAAUUGACCAGAAUUCACCUUUGUUUACACGCAUCGCUUGGACGUCGAAAACGACAUGCAAUGACAUUUCAGUGAAAUUUGGAAACUUGCUCGUAUUUUGGAGCAUUUUGUAGGAUUUCGAUGAAGUAAAAAGUGUUUAUGAUAGGAUACAUUAUUCCUAGAGACAACCACAAAAAUAAAAUAGUGAUCUGGUGUAUUUUUACCGAACA